CAGACUCAGAAAAACAUCACUACUUGUGCUUAUUUGGUUUUCUGUUUAUAAACUUAUGGUAAUGAAAUUCAAAGCACUGAGUAGAAACAUUGUUCACUGAAGUUUUUUGGUGAAACUUCCAGAAACUUCCUUGGAACCAGAUUUCUGUUUUUAUAUUUAGCUUGAACAAAGCAUGAGUCAAGCCCCACUCCACAUGACAUGAAGCAUACAUUUAGUUCUGAUACUGCUACUUAGUUCUCAAAUACUCAUGCCUGUCUUCCUGCUCAGACCUCAUUCAUGACUUCAUCUUUAUCUUCUUAAUUUUAUGUCUGAUUCCAGUGUUAGAGAGAGAAAGAUCUUAAAGGGGGUCCCCUCCGUCUGUGUACCACCAGGAGAGUGACUUUCUCUGCCUCUUGUCCUUAGGGUGAUAAAGAGCUGAAGGCUGAUGCUGGUACAACAGGGCCAAGGCUGGUUCUGCAGCCUCAUCUUCAGACAAUGAGCUCCUGUGCUUGACAGAUGCCUGCAAAAUUCCAUCACACUUUUGCAUGGACCUGUUUGGGUCUCUGAGAAAGAAGGUUUCAGCCUCUCAAGAGCAAAGAUUUAUAUCCAAGAAGCUCUAUUGGCCCUGCACCAACGAUUACAAGUCUGCAAACUGUUGCAAACCGAAAUGCCGAAAGAGUGUCAGUUUGUUUGUAAAAUAUCAAUAAUACCUGAAGAAUUUAAUAUACAGCGUCUCACAGUGGCAUUUUCUGUAAUGUAGCAGGGAAAGGGAUAAAAAAAGCACAAUGAAACUAUAUAAAGCCAAGAGGAAAAGAAGCGUACUU
rnacentral:lncRNA from 1 species